UAUUCCCGAACACACUUCACGGUGAAAACGAAAUGAAAUAUAUUUGUGAUAACAACGGUACGGUGUCGACAUCUGGAUACGAAAUUAGUUUUCCAUUAAUACUUAUCAUUAUAAUAGGAGUACCGCCGAUGAGAAGUGCCAAACUACAAGCUGCGCUGACCAAGCGCAGGGAAGCAGAGCAGAUUAAGUUUCAGAAAUCGGCAGCCGUAGAGCGUUAUUACGAUCACUGGGGUCGUGUCACAUCCCGCCUGGAAUCAUGGAACUCUCCCCAAUUCAAUCGACAAGCUGAAGAGGCUCAGCGGAAGCGCGAAGAAGCUGAGCGCAAAGAAGCCGAACAAAACGAACGUCGCGAGCAAACUAGAGCUAGGCUGCAACAGGAGAAAGAUGAUUUUCAGCGUGAAAUAAAGGAAAAAUCACACCCAAAACCGAAACCCAUCCCAACGGAACUUCUUGAAGGCGUCCGGGCACGCUUGAACGACACCGAAGAGGCCAAACGGCGAAUAGACCUCGAGGCCCGUCUCUACACCAAGUGGCGAAUGGGGUACGAUCGCGAUGGGAUCAUAUUGGAUUCGAAGAAUCCAAACCAGGCAAUGGCGAAGCUGAAUUGGCUCGAUCGACAGGUUGAUUUGCAGAUGCAAAGUGAAAACGAGCGCAAAGAAAACCAAGAACGCGAGAUUCGCCUACACGAGGAAGCACGGCGUCACGAGGAGCUACUGUUGGAGAAAAAUAAACUAAGGGAGCAGCAAAUAAAAGAACUGAGAAGCUACCAGGAGACUAACAUGAAGGAACUGAAAACGCGCGAGCAGGAAGUGAACGAGUUGAAAUUCUACGAGAUGCGUCUGCGGACAAAAAAAGAUGAGUUCGAAAAAGAGUUGGAGCAGUUGCGAGUGUAUAACGAGAGGCGUCGCGAUCGCGUUGUGGCUCUGCAUAACCUAAGACGUAUAAAAAUGCUGCUGCGUGAUCGAUCGGAGGCUGUUCGCAAUGACCUCAAGCAUGAUCUUCAACUACUGCAAAGAAUCGCCAUCGAUAACCCGGAGUCUAACGAGAGUAUCGAUUAUCUCCGUAAGAAAUUCCAACUGCAGUACAAUCUGGAAGUUGAGCAGCAAAUGACAAUAGAAAACAUGUAUGAGUCUGAAGCAAAGCACAAUCUUUCAAAGUGGGAAGACAAGUGGAACCAAGAAGCACUGGUGAGGGAACACCAACUUCGUUGUUUGCUGGAGGAUCGCAUCUUGGAUUUCGAGACCAAAUUGAUCGACUGUACCCAGCGUCAGCAAGAUCUGAUCGAUAUACGCGAAACACACAUCAAAGCGAUAGAAAGUGCGAAUGAGCAGCUGAAAGAAUUGAUGAGCGCUAAGUCAACCGAUUCUAGCGUAGUCAAUUCUGCCAACCAGGUUCGUGAUCUACUUGUCAAUCAGGAUUUGCCGAGAACCGCUGAGAGUCGACCAUCUACUCAGAACUCGUAUCGCAGCUCAACAUUCAGCAGUAUUUUUCCCUUUGUCGACCUGGAAGAUUUGACUGUGAAUGAGAGGAAGAAGGAUACGGACCAAAAUGAACAGGCAUCGGUUUUAUCGGUCCCUCGCUUCGGUGGAAGGAAACGGUAGCAUGAACACAACAAGCACUUUGAUUGUUAAAAAAUUAAAGUUCUGUUCGCCUACAAAAAAGGAACAAUUUGAUGCAGCGAAACUGAUUGAGGCUUUUGUUUGAUCUAAUUGAUUCCAGAUGUCACGGAAUUACAAAACGAGGAUGGGCAGACAACGUCGGAAGAAGGAGGAGUUUGAAAUAGCAACGCAGGCUAUCAAGAUCAGAUUUUCUUUGACCAAGCAUCGAAAGGGUUUGAAAAUGCUCGAACAACAGUGAAAAGAUUCAUGCAGAAUUCGAGAUGGUGUCAAUCCAAUUUUUCUGGUCUGGAAUCUGGCCAAGACACCUGGUAUCGAUCCCAAAAUACUGUUACUGAUUGUAACAUUAUCCCAAAGUACUUUACAUAAACAUCAGUAUGUUUUUUCGAUGAAACACACACUGGACCAACUCACCCCACAGGCGGUCCAAAUCACCCCGCAUCAAAUUUUAAUGUCCAAAAAUCAUCUCUUUUAUUUCAUGAUAUAUUUGGUAGUUUGAAGCUUGAUAUAAUGAUUAAACAUUAUUGAUUGAGAGAA